rnacentral:tRNA from 1 species
GACUUUGUAGCUCAACUGGUAGAGCAUUUGCCGUGUUUGGAAAUGAUAUUUUCGUUGCUGGUUUGAAUCCAGCCGAAGUCC